rnacentral:rRNA from 1 species
CAUAGCGACUAUCGUGGCAUAUCAAUAAGCGGAGGAAAAGAAACUAACAAGGAUUCCCCUAGUAACGGCGAGUGAAGCGGGAAGAGCUCAGAUUUGAAAUCUUAAAGGGUUUCCCUUUACGAAUUGUAGUUUAAAGAAGUGUUUUCUGUUGGAGUUUCGGUAAAAGUUCUUUGGAAUAGGACAUCAUAGAGGGUGAGAAUCCCGUAUUUGACCGUUACUUUCCAGCUGUGUGAUACACUUUCAAAGAGUCGGAUUGUUUGGGAAUGCAGUCCAAGAUGGGUGGUAAAUUUCAUCUAAAGCUAAAUAUUGGCGAGAGACCGAUAGCGAACAAGUACCGUGAGGGAAAGAUGAAAAGAACUUUGAAAAGAGAGUUAAACAGUACGUGAAAUUGUCAAAAGGGAAGCGUUUGACACCAGUGUUGUUUAGUUGAAAAUCAAUUCAAUAAUUUUUGAUUUUAAGUAGUAUUGACUUCAUCAGCUUGCUGCUUUCUUUUCGAAAAUUAUUGAAUGCACUUUUCAGUUAACAAGUCAACAUCAAUUUCUUUUGUUGUAAAAGGGUAAGAGGAAGGUGGCUUACGCUUCGGCGUAAGUGUUUAUAGCCUUUUACCUCUGCAAUCGGAGAGAUUGAGGUCAGCAGCGUAGACUCCUUCGGGGGUUAGAUACACUUGUGCUAAGCUAUAGCCUUGUAUAGACAACUUGUUGACUAUGCUCAGUCAUGUAGCUUACUCGCAUGUGCUAUUUUACCUACGCUUAGGAUGUUGAUAGUCACAGCGUGUAC